rnacentral:rRNA from 1 species
GAUGAACGCUGGCGGCGUGGAUAAGGCAUGCAAGUCGAACGAACAUUUUUAUUUUAGCAAUAAGACGAAAUGUUAGUGGCAAACGGGUUAGUAACGCGUAGGCAACUUACCUCCGUGUCUGGCAUAAUUUCGCGAAAGCGGAACUAAUUCCAGAUGAUAAUGAGGGGGACGAAAGUCAUUCUCAUUUAAAGGUUUCGGCCGCACGGAGAAAGGCCUGCGUCCUAUCAGCUAGUUGGUGAGGUAAUGGCUCACCAAGGCGAUGACGGGUAGGGGGACUGAGAGGUUGGCCCCCAACAUCGGAACUGAGACACUGUCCGGACUCCUACGGGAGGCAG